UUUAUCCGCAUAAAGCAUAAAUAUUUUAUUUUUUGUAAUUUUAAGGUUUGUAAUUCUCAAAAUAUGGACGUUGGGGCUUCUUUUGUCUGUUUGGUGGAAAAAGGUAUUAAUAAGGAUGUUGCAGAAAUUUUGAGAAAUUGCAAAACUGAAAACAUUGAUUCCUCCAGAACAAAACUUCAAUCGUAUAAAAUAUUUAAUGAACGAGACAUUUUAAAAUCGUAGAUUUGAAGUUGGAUAUUUAAACAUAUUGGAUACUUACCUAACAUUUCUUUCCUACAAGGGCACAAUUAUUGAAAAUGGAUUGGAGCUCUUAAAAGGUAAAAGAUUUAACAUUCAAGUAUUGGAAAACCUUAACUUAGAACCAUUUUAUAGGAAGGAAACAGAAUUUCUCCAAUAUG